GGUACAACUCCGUUUUCUCAAAGGCCUAGGGGACCUCAGCAGUUGCCUCUCUUCUUUCCUCUGUGUUCGUCAUUUUAUCAAAUUACUGGAAGCUGGGAGUUGAGGCCAAAAGAGGAGAAAAUAUAUAAUAGAGCCUGAAGAUGUAGUUGUAUUGCUUCAGUCUCAUGAUAAAACUUGAGUGGAUGAGGAGUUGCUUCUUAUGAACGAGCAAAGAAAGUGGUUACGUGAGAGGGAAUCUACUCCUAAUGAAGAUCCUGUUAUAACCGUCUCAUAAAAUGCUGCUCUUUUUCUGUUCGUCCAGAUUUUAAGCAUUCUACUCCAUUGCCCAGGCUGGAGUGCAGUGGCACAAUCACGACUCACUGCAGCCUCAACUUCCCAGGCCAGUGCCAAGCCCUCCAUGAGAUCCUGGAGCUAAGAAGAUGACAGGAGCACAGUUACUGGAUUUAUUCAGAUACUCAACUACAGUUCUCACGCUCUUUCUAUAUUUUCUACUUGCAGAGGGGUUUUUUCCGCCUCUGAUUACUCUAUCCCACCUGGUUAUGCAAUCACUUCCACCCACUAACUGUCCAAAUUCACAGGAGAAUUUUCAGACAUCACCCCACAUACCUUUCCUGGUCUCCUAAAUAUAUAGAAAGUGCAUUCUGCAACACGAUAUCACAUAGAUCAGUUGCCUAUUGCCACGAUAAGGCUACAGGACAAUCACAAAACUACAAUAGAUUAUAGCAACCCACAUUCAGCUUAUGAGUCAAUGAGGUUAAACUGAUCUGGCUACAACAGCAAAGGCUAGGCUUCAAGUUGGUAGACAGAUUUGCUGGUUUCGGCUCGGCUUGUUCACAAGUCUGGGGGACCAGUUGGCUGUCACUGGCUGAUCUAGGACAGCCCAGCUCAUUAUCCAGCAGGCUAGCCCAGGCAUGUCCUUCUCAGGAAGGUGACAGAGAGCAAGAGUGAGCCAACCCAAUGAUGCAAGUGCUUUUCAAGCUUCUACUCCUAUCAUGUCAGCUCAAUAUCCUGUUGACCAAAGUAGGUUGCAUGGCUAACGCCAGUGUUAGAAUGGAAGGGUAUAAAAAUGACAUGGCCACCGAUAUGAAGUGGGGACAGGUAAAGGACUGGGGCCAUUUUUGCAAACUAUAACAUGUGUAGGUAGGAAUAUACCUAAACCAAUGUACAAGAGUCAUACUGUGCAACACUUUCCAAACAUUACCCUGCACUGUGGAAGACUUUACCAAUGUGAUAAACUCCAUCUGCUGAACUUAGCCCUGCUCAGUCCUUUCACAAUACCUCUUGAGUUCAGGAGGCACUCAAGGAAGGACAGGGGCCUCUUGAAAUCCAACGUGGGUCCCAGGAUGACAAUUACUACAGGACUUGACAUAGAGAGCAGCAGAAAAUUUGUCACUUCUCCUCAGCUGUUAGAAGUAGAUCAAAGGUAAAUAUAAACACCUCCAAUCACCAAUUAAGUUAAAAGAAAGAGGCCAACACUAAAUCUACCAGCAGAAAAAUACUGCACUUCCUCUCUCAGCUACUGAAGCAUGCCCAGUAAAUGUAACCAAUACCCCAGCCCCAGCCCUUUAUGGAAACAACUGCACUGAACUCCCAUCCUCUGAGGCCGGGUGCAGUGGCUCAUGCCAGUAAUCCCAGCACUUUGAGAUGCCAAGGCGGGAGGAUUGCUUGAGCUCGUGAAUUUGAGAUCAGCCUCAGCCACACAGCAAAACCCUGUCUCUACAAAAAAAUACAAAACCUAGCUGGGCAUGGUGGUGCCUGCCUGUAGUCGCAGCUACUUGGGAAGCUGAGAUGGGAAGCUGAGGUGGGAGGAUGGCUUGAGCCCCGGAGGCAGAGGUUGCAGUUGGCUGAGAUUGCUGCACUGCACUCCAACCUGAGGCAACUGAGCCAGACCUUGAAAAAAAAAAAAAAAAAAAAAAAAAAAAACAACCUCCCAUCCUCUGGAUAAAGUAAACCUAGAGCAACUAAAACUGUACUAAAGUAAUCUAAUUAUUUUUUUUUUUUUGAGAUGAGGUCUGGCUCUAUCACCCAAGCUCGAUCACAGUGAAGCAAUCUCAGCUCAUUACAACCUCUGCCUUUUAGGGCUCAAGUGAUCCUCCAACCUCAGCCUCCCCAGUAGCUGGGACUACAGGUGCAUGUCACCAUGCCCAGCUAAUUUUUUUUUUUAAUAGAUGGGGUUUUGCUGUGUUGCCUAGGCUGGUCUUGAACUCGUGAACUCAAGUGAUCCUCCUGCCUUGGCCUCCCAAAAUGCUGGGAUUACAGGCAUCAGCCACUGUGCCCAGGCUAGACUAAAGUAAUCCAGACUAAUUAUCUGUAUGUGUGAAUGUGGUGGUGUUGAGAGAAUACAGGCAUCAAGGGCCUAUGUGGCCCUUAAAGACAGGAAUUGAUUGUGCUUGCUUGCUUGCUUUUUUAUUGUGGUAAAGAAUACAUAACAUGAGCUCUAGGCUUUACCAAAAUUUUCAGUGUAGAGUGCAGUACAAUAUUGUUAACUAUGAGCUCAUAAUUGUACAGCAGCUCUCUAGAAGUUUUCCAGCUUGCAUAACUAAAACCCUAUACCUGAUGAACAGCAAUUCUUCCAUUUCCCCUAGCUUUAGGCUCUGGCAACCACCAUUCUACUUUCUGCCUUUAUGAGUUUAACUAUUUAAGACACCUCAUGUAAGUAGAAUUAUGUAGUAUUUGCUUCUCUGUGUCUGGCUGAUUUCACUUAGCAUAAUGCCCUCGAUUUCCAUCCAUGUUGCAGCAUGUGACAGGAUUCCCUUCUUUCAUGGCUGAAUAGUAUUCCAUUGUGUAUAGGUAUCAGAUUUUCUUUAUGCAUUCAUCCAUUGAUGGGCAUUUAGGUUGUUUCCACCUCUUGUCUAUUUUGAAUAAUGCUGAAAUGAACAUGGGAAUGCAGAUAAAAAAAAAAAAAAAAAAAAAAA
rnacentral:lncRNA from 1 species